GUAACGGGUCAAAGUGCUAGAAAGUCACUUGAAGCUUCUUCUAUUUCCCUAUUCUCUUGGUGCAAAUUCCUUUGAUCAUCUUCAUUUGUGGCACUAAAGCCAAAUCACAUUAAAUUCCUUUAUGCUCAUGUUAUUUGUUUUUGUCAUUCUUCUUCUACAUAACCAAUAGGAAAGCCCUAUAUAUGACACAACAAUAAUUAUUAACUUCACAUUUGCUAAACAAUUACUAAUGCCAAGAUGGAAUUUUAGUGACAAAAUUUUAAUACUUGACCAUUGAUGAUUCUUAUAUAUUUG
rnacentral:misc_RNA from 1 species